GAGGAAGCUGAGGCUUGGGGAGUUAACAACUUGGCUAAAGACAUCUGUCACAGAAUCCGCUUGUUAUUCGGCGAUUCCAAGGCAUUUGUGAAAGGUCCAUUGACUUCAAGCAGCAGCAGAAGACGGUCAAGAAUGUAAAGCGUCCAAGGUUUUGCCCUUCUAACUUCUGCGGAUCGAGAGCCUGAAGCCUUAAUGAGGUAGACUUUGGGAAAAGAAAGAGGGGACUGAGGAUGGAAAUCACUCCAUACUCAAAGACUGACUUCAUUACCUACCAUGUGUGGCCUUCGACAUCAGCAAAUGCAAACUUGGUUGCACUGAAAUGAUCUUCCUUCUUUUUGUUGCCCUUGGAUGCCUGGACAUGGGGACUGAAGUAAAACCAAACCAAAACAACAGAACGUGGCCUAGCUCUUCUUGUUAAGUGUAAAAUGCACCAUGGGAAUUUCUACUGUCCGGUGAUAACUGUAGCGUGAGAAGAAAGUUCUGUGAAUGCUCCUGGGAAUUAUUUUAUUGAAAAUGUGAGCAGAAGGAAU